rnacentral:rRNA from 1 species
AUUGAACGCUGGCGGCAGGCUUAACACAUGCAAGUCGAGCGGAGAUGAGGUGCUUGCACCUUAUCUUAGCGGCGGACGGGUGAGUAAUGCUUAGGAAUCUGCCUAUUAGUGGGGGACAACAUUCCGAAAGGACUGCUAAUACCGCAUACGUCCUACGGGAGAAAGCAGGGGAUCUUCGGACCUUGCGCUAAUAGAUGAGCCUAAGUCGGAUUAGCUAGUUGGUGGGGUAAAGGCCUACCAAGGCGACGACCUGUAGCGGGUCUGAGAGGAUGAUCCGCCACACUGGGACUGAGACACGGCCCAGACUCCUACGGGAGGCAGCAGUGGGGAAUAUUGGACAAUGGGGGGAACCCCGAUCCAGCCAUGCCGCGUGUGUGAAGAAGGCCUUAUGGUUGUAAAGCACUUUAAGCGAGGAGGAGGCUACUGAGACUAAUACUCUUGGAUAGUGGACGUUACUCGCAGAAUAAGCACCGGCUAACUCUGUGCCAGCAGCCGCAGUAAUAC